UGGUCAGCACUUAUAUAACGCUUUUUAACCAGUUUUGCAAAGUGCUUUACACUGUUUCCCAUUCAAUGAUUCACACACACACACACACACACACACACACACACACACACACACACACACACACACACACACACACACACACACACACCAAUGGUAGCAGAACUACCAUGCAAGGCACUAGACUGCCAUCAGGAGCAACUUGGGUUCAGUGUCUUUCCCCAAGGACACUUCAGCAUGUGGAGGGGCCGAGGAACAAACCACCAACCCUGAGAUUAGUGGACAACCCGCUCUACCACCUGAGUCACAGCCACUCCAAGGAAUUCUGUCUAUCCACAAUUGAAAGGCAAAAGAAGAGAGACGUCAACUGUGGACUGAACAGAUGACCUUGUGAUGGUGUGCACAGCAGACAGUUUCAGAUUGUUUAAUCAUUGAUAAGAGAAUCACCAUGCUUUGAGGUCAGAGCAUGAAACUGAGUGUGCGUACUCCUGCUGCCUGAUGUGAUGCAAUGCUGAUUCAUCCUGAUGGAAAAUGAAUGUCCAUAAUGCCAUCUUUAUAUGUUAGUCAAUAAUACAUUGUCAUUAUUCUAAUACAGUGUAAUACAGUGUCAUAAUACAGUGUUAUGAACAUGUCACUCGGAUGCAGAUAUGCAGCCUGUCCUGCUGUGUGUCCAUUGGAGUGGAUUUCCGUCUGGACUCUCUUAAGUUGUGGGACGUGAGCAGUGGAAUUUCUGAUCUCAGUGUGCACAGUUUUGCAGGUGAAUUGAAUUUCAUAUGAUACUUUACUUUCUGCAACACACAGUGUUGAUCAUU